UACGUAGGGGGCAAGCGUUGUCCGGAAUCAUUGGGCGUAAAGAGCGCGUAGGCGGUCCGGUAAGUCCGCUCUGAAAGUCCGGGGCUCAACCCCGGGAGGCGGGCGGAUACUGUCGGGCUAGAGUCCGGAAGAGGCGAGUGGAAUUCCUGGUGUAGCGGUGAAAUGCGCAGAUAUCAGGAGGAACACCGGUGGUGUAGACGGCUCUCUGGACCAUAACUGACGCUGAGACACGAAAGCGUGGGUAGCAAACAGG
rnacentral:rRNA from 1 species